GUGAGUUAAUAUUAAAUGUAUAUAUUUUAAUUAUUUGCCUAAAGGUAAUAAUUUAAAUAUAUAUAUUUAUUAUUGUUUUUGGCUUGAAUUAAUACAUGUUUUUUUAAGAAAUUUAUUUGCCCAAAGGUAAUAAAUUCUUAAAUGAUAUGUAUUUUUUUCUUAUUGUUAACUUUAUAAAGGUAGAUCAUGUGUGUGUUAUAUUCUCACCCCAAAGGGGGGUUUAUAAUGACUAGUUGACUCUACAAUAUUUUCUAAUGCAUUGCUCAUAUUGCUUAAUCAAGUUUUAAUUUUUUAAAUUUUUCAGUCUCUUUUUCUGUGAACAUCAAUAAUGCUUCCAUCCAUAUUUUGAAUGGGUCCAACUAUAAGAUAUGAAAACGAGAUGUGGAAUUUACUUUAGACAUAAUGGAUUUGGACUUGUGCCUACGAGAAGAAAAACCUGUUGAUCUUACUGACACCAGUACAGCUGCCUAGAGAACUCUUCAUGCACAAUGGGAAAGUCAAGUCGUCUUAGUCUUCGUACUAUGAAAAGAUCUAUUCUUGAACAUCUAUUGAGUGGUUUGCCAGAAACUACAAAUGCCAAAGAGUUUUUUAAGGCUGUAGAAAAACUAUAUGAAACUGGUGAAAAUGCUGAAGCUAGACAUCUUAUAGAUGAAAUGACAACCAUUAAGUAUGAUGAAUUAAAAGGAGUGCGAGAUUUUAUUUUGAAAUUAGUGAAUGUUCAGUCCAAGUUGAAAGAUCAUAAUAUUCUUCUUCCUGACUCUUAUAUCAUUCAUCGAGCUCUUCAUGCACUUCCAACCUCUUUCAGCCUUAUCAAGACAGCCUACAACACUUACAAUAAAACAUAGACUAUUAGCGACCUAAUUUCUCAGUGUGUAGCUGAAGAAAGCAAACUAAAAAAGGAGAAGAAUGAAUCUGCUCACUAUGUUUCUCACCUCAAGCCUAAUAAAGGAAAAGAUAAGUUCAAGAAUAAAAAUGAUGGUGCUAAUAAACAUAAUGGUAAUGACAAGUAGCAUAAGAAUAAACAGAAGACUAACAAUGGAAAGUCUAAAUACUCUAAUGUGAAGUGUUACUUUUGUGAAAAAAUGGGAAAUCGAAAAACGAUCUGUCACAAAUUUAAGACUUGGUUAGAAAGAAGCAAGCACAAUCAGGGGCUAAGGGAUCUCAGGAAGCCAAGUGAGAGGGAGUCCAAGCUUAAAGUGGGCAAUGAUGUUGGAGUUGACGUUAUCUAUAUUGACAUAUUUAUUCUUGAAUUACAGUCUCGUGUUAAGAUUGUUUUGAACAAUACUUUUUAUGUUCCUACUUUUAAGAAAAAUUUAGUUUCGCUUCCACUUUUGGUUAAAUAAGGAUAUUUUUUUCUUUUUGCAAAUGAUAAUGUUGACAUUAUGCUUGACUCUCGAAUUAUUGGAAAUUAUCUUUAUUCUGAUAGUCUUUACAAGU